rnacentral:lncRNA from 10 species
CAGUUCUGAGAAUUGCUCACCCCAUUCCUGGAAAACUCACAAGUAAUCUAUCCCUUAUUUAGCAUAUAAUCAAAAAGUAACAAUAUGUAUCCUCGGUCAAGCAGCUCAAGCCAUUUAUUCAGACCCGAGUGACAAUGAGGAGGCAGAGUGACGAGGAAGUCUGGAUGAAGAGAGUUCCAAGAAGGAAGAGCAAUUGCAAAGUACUUGAACAUGCUUGGCUAGUUCAGGGGACAGAAAGAAGGUCCUAAGGAGGAGAGAUGGAAGCAGAUGCUGGGUGAAGUUGGAGAGAGAAAAGAAGUGAGGCCCACAGAGGCGACCCUGCCAAGUCCACAAAUCCGGGACCACAGAGCUGGAGUUCUACUUUCUAUCAGACUCUAAGACCAGUUUCACCCCCAGACUGCCUCUUGGGGACACAGGGGUGAGAGAGAAGAGAAAGAGAAGUCGAGGCUUAGGGA